GGUUAAGUGACUAAGCGUACACGGUGGAUGCCUUGGCAGUCAGAGGCGAUGAAGGACGUAGUAACUUGCGAUAAGCGUAGAUGAGGCAGUAACAGCCACUUGAGUCUACGAUUUCCGAAUGGGGAAACCCACUGGCAUAAGCCAGUAUCAUUGAGUGAAUACAUAGCUCAAUGAAGCGAACCGGGAGAACUGAAACAUCUAAGUACCCCGAGGAAAAGAAAUCAACCGAGAUUCCGAAAGUAGCGGCGAGCGAAAUUGGAUUAGCCCUUAAGCUUUACAUGUGUUAGACGAACGGUCUGGAAAGUCCGACGAUACAGGGUGAUAGUCCCGUAGUUGUAGACGCAUGUUCAGUGAAAUCGAGUAGGGCGGGACACGUGUUAUCCUGUCUGAAUAUGGGGGGACCAUCCUCCAAGGCUAAAUACUCCUGACUGACCGAUAGUGAACCAGUACCGUGAGGGAAAGGCGAAAAGAACCCCUGUGAGGGGAGUGAAAUAGAACCUGAAACCGUGUACGUACAAGCAGUAGGAGCACCUUCGUGGUGUGACUGCGUACCUUUUGUAUAAUGGGUCAGCGACUUAUAUUCAGUGGCAAGGUUAACCAUCUAGGGGAGCCGUAGGGAAACCGAGUCUUAACUGGGCGCCAUAGUCUCUGGAUAUAGACCCGAAACCGAGUGAUCUAGCCAUGGGCAGGUUGAAGGUUGAGUAACAUCAACUGGAGGACCGAACCGACUAAUGUUGAAAAAUUAGCGGAUGACUUGUGGCUAGGGGUGAAAGGCCAAUCAAACUCGGAGAUAGCUGGUUCUCCCCGAAAGCUAUUUAGGUAGCGCCUCGGACGAAUACUACUGGGGGUAGAGCACUGUUAAGGCUAGGGGGUCAUCCCGACUUACCAACCCUUUGCAAACUCCGAAUACCAGUAAGUACUAUCCGGGAGACACACGGCGGGUGCUAACGUCCGUCGUGGAGAGGGAAACAACCCAGACCGCCAGCUAAGGUCCCAAAUUACAGCUAAGUGGGAAACGAUGUGGGAAGGCUUAGACAGCUAGGAUGUUGGCUUAGAAGCAGCCAUCAUUUAAAGAAAGCGUAAUAGCUCACUAGUCGAGUCGGCCUGCGCGGAAGAUGUAACGGGGCUAAGUUGUAAACCGAAGCUGCGGCAAUAUCUUUUAGAUAUUGGGUAGGGGAGCGUUCUGUAAGCCGUUGAAGGUGUGUUGUAAAGCAUGCUGGAGGUAUCAGAAGUGCGAAUGCUGACAUGAGUAACGACAAGGGGGGUGAAAAACCUCCCCGCCGGAAGACCAAGGGUUCCUGUCCAACGUUA
rnacentral:rRNA from 1 species